rnacentral:piRNA from 1 species
UCCAAGUGGAACAGAUAUAGGGCCCUUCU